CGAACCCCGUUAGUUCAGAGAAUCUGAACAUCUUUUACAGUUGCCUUCGAAAUCAGACCUCUGCAACAGGAUCAGAAGAAAUACAACAGUUUCUCUGUCAAACUGCCACACAGGAGCAGUUAAACGAAUUUGAUGAUUGUGUACACCAAAACAUUAUUCAGUCAGUUAUUUUUCUUUUACAAUUUGAGUGUUGCAUCUACCAAAGUUAUUUCCCAGUUUUCAGUUUUAUUUGCAAUAUUAUAGGUUAACAUUUUG